rnacentral:rRNA from 1 species
UACGUAGGGUGCAAGCGUUGUCCGGAAUUAUUUGGGCGGUAAAGAGCUCGUAGGCGGUUUGUCGCGUCGAAAUGUGAAAACCCCGGGGCUCAACCCCGGGCCUGCAUUCGAUACGGGCAGACUAGAGUUCGGUAGGGGAGUCUUGGAAUUCCUGGUGUAGCGGUGAAAUGCGCAGAUAUCAGGAGGAACACCGGUGGCGAAGGCGGGACUCUGGGCCGAUGACUGACGCUGAGGAGCGAAAGCGUGGGGAGCAAACAGG